GAAGGGGGCGAGCGUUGUUCGGAUUUACUGGGCGUAAAGGGCGCGCAGGCGGCCAUUCAAGUCAGGCGUGAAAGCCCCGGGCUUAACCUGGGAGGUGCGCUUGGGACUGGGUGGCUAGAGAUCGGGAGAGGAGAGUGGAAUUCCCAGUGUAGAGGUGAAAUUCGUAGAUAUUGGGAAGAACACCGGUGGCGAAGGCGGCUCUCUGGACCGAUACUGACGCUGAGGCGCGAAAGCGUGGGGAGCAAACAGGAUUAGAUACCCUGGUAGUCCACGCUGUAAACGAUGUGUGCUAGACGUUGGGGAGCCUAGCUCUUCGGUGUCGCAGCUAACGCUUUAAGCACACCGCCUGGGGAGUACGGCCGCAAWGUUA
rnacentral:rRNA from 1 species